UGUUGCAUAUCAAAAAAAGCGGAGGAAAAGAAACUAACUAGGAUUCCCUUAGUAACGGCGAGUGAACCGGGAUGAGCUCAAAUUUGAAAUCUGGCGUCUUUCAGGCGUCCGAGUUGUAAUCUAUAGAGGCGUUUUCCGCGCCGGACCGCGUCCAAGUCUCUUGGAAUAGAGUAUCAAAGAGGGUGACAAUCCCGUACUUGACGCGACAACCGGUGCUCUGUGAUACGUUCUCAAUGAGUCGAGUUGUUUGGGAAUGCAGCUCUAAAUGGGUGGUAAAUUCCAUCUAAGGCUAAAUAUUGGCGAGAGACCGAUAGCGAACAAGUACCGUGAGGGAAAGAUGAAAAGCACUUUGGAAAGAGAGUUAAACAGCACGUGAAAUUGUUAAAAGGGAAACGAUUGAAGUCAGUCGUGUGAGGGGUAUUCAGCCGUCUCUGGCGGUGUAUUUGCCUCUCACGGGUCAACAUCAGUUUGAUCCGGUAGAAAAAGGCGGGAGGAAGGUGGCACCCUCGGGUGUGUUAUAGCCUCCUGUCAUAUGUGCCGGACCAGACUGAGGAACGCAGCUUGCAGCAAUGCCGGGAUUCGUCCACGUACAAGCUUAGGAUGUGACAUAGUAAUAGGU
rnacentral:rRNA from 1 species